UACAGAGGUCUCGAGCGUUAGGCGGAAUCACUGGGCUUAAAGCGUGUGUAGGCGGAUCGUUAAGUACCUUGUGAAAUCCCACGGCUUAACCGUGGAACUGCUUGGUAUACUGGCGGUCUUGAGCCAGCUAGGGGCUACCGGAACAAAUUGGUGGAGCGGUGAAAUGCGUAGAUAUCAUUUGGAACGCCAAUGGUGAAAACAGGUAGCUGGGGCUGUGCUGACGCUGAGACACGAAAGCCAGGGGAGCAAACGGG
rnacentral:rRNA from 1 species